rnacentral:rRNA from 1 species
UACAGAGGGGGCAAGCGUUGUUCGGAAUUACUGGGCGUAAAGGGCGCGUAGGCGGCCUUCUAAGUCGAACGUGAAAUCCCCGGGCUCAACCCGGGAACUGCGUCCGAUACUGGAAGGCUUGAAUCCGGGAGAGGGAUGCUGAAUUCCAGGUGUAGCGGUGAAAUGCGUAGAUAUCUGGAGGAACACCGGUGGCGAAGGCGGCAUCCUGGACCGGCAUUGACGCUGAGGCGCGAAAGCCAGGGGAGCAAACGGG